GGGGGAACUGAAACAUCUAAGUACCCCGAGGAGAAGAAAUCAACCGAGAUUCCGGUAGUAGCGGCGAGCGAACCUGGAUUAGCCCUUAAGCACUCGGUGAAGUAGGUGAACAAGCUGGAAAGCUUGGCGAUACAGGGUGAUAGCCCCGUAACCGACGCUUCAUCGAGCGUGAAAUCGAGUAGGGCGGGACACGUGAUAUCCUGUCUGAAUAUGGGGGGACCAUCCUCCAAGGCUAAAUACUCCUGACUGACCGAUAGUGAACCAGUACCGUGAGGGAAAGGCGAAAAGAACCCCUGUGAGGGGAGUGAAAUAGAACCUGAAACCGUGUACGUACAAGCAGUAGGAGCACCUUCGUGGUGUGACUGCGUACCUUUUGUAUAAUGGGUCAGCGACUUAUAUUCAGUGGCAAGGUUAACCGUAUAGGGGAGCCGUAGCGAAAGCGAGUCUUAACUGGGCGCUCAGUCUCUGGAUAUAGACCCGAAACCGGGUGAUCUAGCCAUGGGCAGGUUGAAGGUUGAGUAACAUCAACUGGAGGACCGAACCGACUAAUGUUGAAAAAUUAGCGGAUGACUUGUGGCUAGGGGUGAAAGGCCAAUCAAACUCGGAGAUAGCUGGUUCUCCCCGAAAGCUAUUUAGGUAGCGCCUCGGACGAAUACUACUGGGGGUAGAGCACUGUUAAGGCUAGGGGGUCAUCCCGACUUACCAACCCUUUGCAAACUCCGAAUACCAGUAAGUACUAUCCGGGAGACACACGGCGGGUGCUAACGUCCGUCGUGGAGAGGGAAACAACCCAGACCGCCAGCUAAGGUCCCAAAGUAUUGCUAAGUGGGAAACGAUGUGGGAAGGCUCAGACAGCUAGGAUGUUGGCUUAGAAGCAGCCAUCAUUUAAAGAAAGCGUAAUAGCUCACUAGUCGAGUCGGCCUGCGCGGAAGAUGUAACGGGGCUAAGCA
rnacentral:rRNA from 1 species